rnacentral:lncRNA from 8 species
AAUUAUAUACGUCUGAGAAAUUUGGCUGGUGUCGUGAUUCAAUAUGUGGUGUUGAUGCCGGUGGUUGAACGCUAUGUUUAUUCUGAAGUUACUUGGCAUGGAAGUAGUUGGAUGAGCUAAACCAAAUAUUGUAGGCCUAUUCACGGAAUGUUCCUUCAACUUCUAGCAUCUACCAAACUGGAAGCACUAGUAACUAUGUCUGACAUAGAGGAAGAGAAUGAGUGAGUAAUCAUCAACUAUUCUAAUUAAAAGAA